GAAGCGAGACGGAGACGUUAAGCGAAACCCAAAAAAGUAAGUCUCAGUUCGGAUUGAAGGCUGAAAUUCGCCUUUAUGAAGCCGGAAUUGCUAGUAAUGGCAGGUCAGCAUACUGCCGUGAAUACGUUCCCGGGCCUUGUACACACCGCCCGUCACACCAUGAGAGUUGGGAAUACCCGAAGCCUGUGAGCUAACUUUUAGAGGCAGCAGUCGAAGGUAGAAUCAAUGAUUGGGGUGAAGUCGUAACAAGGUAGC
rnacentral:rRNA from 1 species